GGAACAUUCAGAAACUGUUUUUGCUGAUGUAUCUCAAGAUUAGGACUUUCAGAAAGAAAAAGUGGCCUCAUCCGCUGCGUUAUGGAUGUUGGUAGUGACCAGCUGCAGCAAGAGAGAAGACUGAAGAAGCGUUGGCAUCACUGGCACUGACCGACGGUGGUGAUAGGACUCCGGUAGGGCAUCAGGAACCAGCGCUCCCCCUUGAAGAGGCACGGGGCGAAGCCCACGACCUGUUUGAAGAUGACCUGGACCUUGCGACCCAGGCUGCCCUCGGACAGCACCACCUGCCUGUAGGUGUCGGUCUCCCCAAACGAGUACACUGGCACCAGGUCAGCUCUGAGGGGUUCAGUACAGGGGACACAGGGCAUGAAACCACAUCUCACAACUCAGGCACUACACUGACUUUUUUUACAGACAAAACUGUGACUCACCCGUUCUCAAGUGCCAGCUUGACAAAGCCCUUCCUGUUCUUCAUGACUACAGUGUUGACUCCUGGGGAGGAGAAGAGGGACUCUUCUGCACCCCCGGUGAUGAUGACCACCGCAUUCCCUACCCCACUCCUGGUCAGCAGGUGCUCAAUACACUUCUUACUCACUGGAAUAACGCCUGUAACGCCAGUUACACAAAAAACAUUUAAACUCCAAACGUAAUGUCUCCAAUUAUACCAGCAACGGUGCUAUUGACAACAAUAACUAAACUAAACAGAAACUACAAAUCGUAUACACUGUUGAUAACUACAAAAGAUUUUAAGGACUGAGGUUACAAUUGACCCCAACAAUGCUGUCCAUAAAAAUGCAAUCAUCACUGAUCAUGUCAAACUUAGGCCAAAAAAACCCUAUAAAAAUAUAAACACAUGUCGAUAUUCUACUGCUAAUAUCCACAAAAACAUUUGUUUAAUAAAUAUUUUCCGAAUUACAUGACUUGGAUCAGUAAAUGACCCCCCCCUUCCCCAGCACUCCUUAACCCUGCUGACCUAUACGCAUGAUGUACUCCCUGAACAGCGGUAUCCGGAAAUGCCCUGCCAAGGUAGCCAGCCAGGAGCGCACUCCUGGGAAAACCUCGCUGAAACCACAGCCCUCUGUAGUGAAACAGACAGCAGCUCCAAAACUCAUGAUCCCAUGGGGGUGGCAUCCCAGGAUGUAGUUCUUACUUGGGCUUAGUUCAGCUGUCUUCACCAACUAAAAAAGGGAGAGGGUUGGUUU